UACGAAGGGGGCUAGCGUUGCUCGGAAUUACUGGGCGUAAAGCGCGCGUAGGCGGCUUUUUAAGUCAGGGGUGAAAUCCUGGAGCUCAACUCCAGAACUGCCUUUGAUACUGGCGAGCUUGAGUCCGGGAGAGGUGAGUGGAACUGCGAGUGUAGAGGUGAAAUUCGUAGAUAUUAGCAAGACCACCAGUGGCGAAGGCGGCUCACUGGCCCGGUACUGACGCUGAGGUGCGAAAGCGUGGGGAGCGAACAGG
rnacentral:rRNA from 1 species